CAUGUUGUUAAUUCGACGAUACGCGAGAACUUACCAGGCUUGACAUCCCUGCAAAGCUAUGGAGACAUAGUGGAGGUUAUCAGGGAGACAGGUGGUGCAUGGUUGUCGUCAGCUCGUGUCGUGAGAUGUUGGGUUAAGUCCCGCAACGAGCGCAACCCUUAUUGCUAGUUACCAUCAUUAAGUUGGGGACUCUAGCGAGACUGCCAGUGAUAAACUGGAGGAAGGUGGGGAUGACGUCAAAUCAGCAUGCCCCUUAUGACCUGGGCUACAAACGUGAUACAAUGGCUGAAACAAAGGGCAGCGAAGGAGCGAUCUGGAGCGAACCCAAAAAAGCAGUCUCAGUUCGGAUUGAAGUCUGCAACUCGACUUCAUGAAGUCGGAAUCGCUAGUAAUCGCGGAUCAGAACGCCGCGGUGAAUACGUUCUCGGGGUUU
rnacentral:rRNA from 1 species